GAAAAGAAAAUAAAAAUGUUAAAAAGAAUAGUAAGCUCCAUGUGAGUAUGCUCAUGGCAUAAAACCCAUAGGUACAUUCACUGUGGUGGCAUAAAAUAAAUAUGUUUUCAUCUUACAAUAAAUAUAAAAAUAAUAAGUGCAUGAUCCUACCAAGUAAUAUUUCUUAGGAGGAAUCUCAAUAUGAUAAAGGCUAGAUAUUUAUGCUAACACUUAACCAGUUCCACAAAGCUUUGUUGUCUAUUUGAGCUCCACAGAAUUCAAGGAUCAAAGAAGACAAGCAGACGGAGGACAUCCUAAUCGCUGUCAGGGUACUGCCAACAUUUCAAUACACCUCCGUCACCUGCUAGCUACAUCAGAAGAAAUUACAUCAAAAUCCAGCUUGGGGAGAGCACCCCCAUUUAUCCAGCUAAGUGUUUCUACUCGCGUUUAUACUUUACUCAAAUAAUAAAAAGAUACAUAAUCAUAAAAAAACCUAAAUAAAGAUUUUGUGCUUUUAUAUAUAUCUUUGCUUAGUUUGCGAAAUAAAUAAAUAAAUAAAGUUUGCUAUGAACCCUUAUGAUAAGCUCUCACAUGGAAAUGAUGAAUAGUUGCUCUGCCAUGACUAGUUCUUAAAAUUAAAAUCUCUCUCAAGUUUAGGCAUGACUGUUAUGAAUUAAGAUUUGCUCUAAACCUGAACUUGUGGGAAGAGUACUUGAUCUAAAGUCUAAGUUGUUAACGGAUAUGAUAUGGGAAGGUUGAGCUACUGUUUAUCUGUUCCUAGAGAUGCUAGAAUUCUAGAGAAUUUUAUCUUUGAAAAUCUUUAAAAUAACACAUGAUGAGUUCCUGUAUGAUGAGAGUUUAAAUUCCUACCACAGCCAUACAUACAUGCUUAUUAGACUUUAAGCCACACAUUUACUUUUUACUGCUUAUGAGCAGUGAGUGUGGUCAAGCUGUGUAGACCCUUAGGAGCUUGUCAUGUGGUUAAAUCAAGAUUCACUUGCACGUUCACUCACACAUGCUGCUUCUACUCCGGAAGUACACAUCCACAUAUAUCCACUCAAUUCCAUCUCCAGAUUCACCUAAAAUUAUUCUACCCCUAAUCCGGGAGAGAAUAGCCAAAAAUAUUUUCCUAUCCCUGUUAUUCCCUGUGAAAUAAAUGCUCGAGUUAUCUUGGUUACUACCACUUGCUACAUUAUUUCAGGAGAUGAGUGCUCUAAAAAAAGAAGAAAGGAAAAAAAAUGAAUACGAGGAAAUAAAAAGGGGCAAGUGCCCGGAACCUUGAAGAAAAGAAAAAGUGAGACGAGAGGUAAAAAUGGACAAGUGUCCGACAGUAGAAUUAGGGGUACAAGAUACCCACCAGAGAGGAAAGAAAAAAGAAAAUAUAGAGCAUCUCAUUCUCCUCAAAAAAAGCUUCAAAGUGCAAGAAAGGUAUGUAUCCCCUUAAAAGAGCAAAAAUAGAAUUAGACUUUCACCAUUGUUAUCACCAUCAUCACCAUACACCAUUCACUCACCACACAUGCACAUCUUGAUUUGACUUAUUGACUUGUUUCUCUGGAUCCAUGGUUUGACUAUGCAAUAAAUAUCUUGUAAGUAUGUAUUAGCUGUCUCCCACCUAUGAGCUCCAAAUAUCAAAACCUUAUUAGAGUAGGGUGAGAGAGAAGGCAAUAUCACUAUGCCUUAUACCAAAAAUACCACAUACUUUGAGAGAAGGCAUUGUUGAUGGUCCUUAAGUACUAAAAUUAAUAAUCAAAUAAACAUGAAAAAGGAUCAAUAUGAAACAAACAUCUAGAAUUAGGGUUUUAUCUGACAGAAUUCCAUGAGAUUUGGUGUUUAUCUAUUUCUGCAGGGGGUUAUCAGAGAAUAUGGAGAGAAGGCCCACAUGUCAUGUUUACAACGAGAUAAUUACGUGCUACGCAAUUUUCCUCAAUCUAGAAGAGUCCAGAAGCCACGGGAACGAACGAGAACACGAUCGGGCUCGGGGACAGGGCGCCCGCCCACCCCCCUUGGGCGCCCGCCCAGGCCAGGAGUCCAAUCAGGACUCUGCUUUGGGGCUAAACUCCACCGACCUAAAGGAUCAAUCUAAACCAUACAAUCUAUGUCGGUUUGAUCUGCCCACAUUCACUUGAAAGGACUAUAUAACCAAGGCCUCUCCACCCCUGGGGAGAGAGGAGAAGAGAAGAAAUCAUUAUUCAGAGGUAGCCAUCAAAGUUAGGGUUUAGAGCUUCUCUCCCACAGAGAAUUAGAAUUAGCUACUCCCUAAUCCUUCAAGUUUAGAGGUUUGAUUAGAUAGCAAUUAGAGAAGUAGAGCACAACGCUCUGGAUUCGGAUCUUCGGUAAUAAAGAUUGGUAUUAUUCAUAUCUUUCUCUAAUUCUUUGUUCUAAUUGCAUUAUGUCUCUAAUUAUUAUGUUCUUAGUUUGUUCUAGUUCUAUGUUUGAUAUAGUUAUGAUUGAUAAUGAGUUUAUGUAUAAGUUUGCAAAGCGCUUAGCUCUUGACGCGAGGGAGUUAGGUGAUAGAUCACAUGUGAGCGUGGUGCUUAGAUGUUAUUUAUCUGCAAAUGUAUCCUAUUGGCCGGGUCGUGUGGUAGUUCGCGAUAGUGACAGCUUCGUUGAUUCUUAUAUAGUCCACCCUCCGUUGAUAGGAUAGGCAGAACUGGUAUUGUGGAGUAAGUCGUGCGAUGCUCUGAUUUACUUUAUCAAUGUUCCUUAUACAUGAAUGAAGAGUCUUUUAUGCUAUAUAUGAUCUUGUAGAUAACUAGAGUAGAUUAUGACUUAGUAGUUAGUAGAUAACUUAGAAUCCAUUCUCUAGCUAAUCCGACAUCACCUACAUAUAUGAGGAGUAGUCUAUUUUCUAAUCGCUGUGUUAUUUAUCCCUUGAACUUAUAAUUCAUUAUCAUUAUCUUUAUAGUUUACCCCCUGCUAAAGUAAGUGACUGUGUGACGAGUUUCUCAUUAGUAAUCAUGUUCUUGCAAGUUUAUCUCUAGUCUAUGCCUUGAUAGAUUUUGCCCUUAAUUUAAUCUCCUUAGAUCCCUUGAGCAAAAUUAUAAAUAACGAUACCUGGAAUACUUAUCCUAGUGAAAUGCUACAAUGAGGUGUUUUAUCUGUGCGCUUGCGGAUAGAAUAGAUUAUUUUCUAAAGAGCCUUUACAUUUAUAAAUACCUUUGUACACUCUGGCACCAUGCUGGGGAUGACAACCUAGUAUCUAAGUGGUGUUAGCUAGUGUCAACAUGCAUUUCUGGCGCCAUUGCCGGGGAAUCUCAUAAGUAAGUCAUAAUAGGGUAAUACAUAGGAACGGUAAGGAAAGCCACUAAAUCAGUCAAGGUUAUUCAUAUAAAAUUUUAGACUAGACUAUAGAGAAAUAAUUGCAUAAAACAGCUACUAAGUGAGAAAUCAUAACAAGGCACCUCUGCUUUGGCAGGUUCACCCUCUUGUUUUUCUAUGUUUAUAUUUUUAUACAGGGUAUAUCAGGAUUGACUUUGGGUACAUUCAACUCUUCAUCAUCAGAACCAAAGCAAUCAAGAGAAGAAGAAGCUAGCUACCAAUUGCUGAAGCUAUGGCACAAAAGACCCUACAAGAAUUCUCUGCUCCAAGUCUUGAGAACAUUCCAACUGGUCCAAGACUUGCAGUAGAAGAAGGAGUACCCGAGUUUGAGCUCAAGUCAAGCCUCAUCAAUUUGGUGCAAGCUACACAAUUCAGUGGUAAGGCACAUGAAGAUGCUAGUGCACACUUGCAGAAUUUUUUAGAGAUUGGAAGCACAAUCCACAUCAACGGAGUUGACAAAGACGUCAUACUACUUCACCUUUUUCCAUUCUCACUAGAAGGAAAAGCGAGGAAGUGGUUCUACACUCAUCAAGAUAACAUCAACAACUGGACGAACUUGUCAGAUGCCUUUCUAUCAAAGUUUUUCCCUAUAGGCAAAACAACUGCCUUAAGAGGAAAUAUUGUCAGUUUCCAACAGCAGAAGACAGAAGCUGUUUCAGAAGCAUGGGAGCGUUUUCAAGGAUACAUAUCAGAUAGUCCUCACCAUGGAAUGGCCACAUGGUUACUUAUGCAGACCUUCUACCACGGAUUAACCCAGAAGGCUCGUGAGUGUCUAGAUGCAUCUGCUAAAGGAUCAUUUUUGGAGCUUACAAUUGGAAAAGCAGAGAUACUUUUGGAUAAGAUAGCAGAAAAUCAAAGCUGGUUCCAAGAUAGGGCUCAACAAUGUCAUCAAACUGAAGAAAUACCAGAAGAAGUAAAUGCAUUAUCAACUAAGAUGGAAAAUUUGCUCCAUUGGAUUGACCAGAGGGCCAAGUUCAAAGAAGAUCAAAGGGCAAUGGAGACAGCAUACAAAUAUCAAACAACUUCGAGUCAACCCAAUAGCAAAGGUAUGAAUUCAGGUAAUACUUUCAAGCAACUUUCAUUAAAAGAGAUAAUUGCUCAACAAACUAAAAUUAAUGAUGAAGUUAAACAAAGGUUAGAUACAAAUGCAUCAUCUCUAAAAGAUAUACACAAUAAAAUGGAUUUUCUAUUAACUGCCUUUGAUGAGCAAAACGCUCUUAAUAAAAGGGUAGAGCUUAAAUUAAUAAAGUCAGCUGCUGCACUGCCUGUUGCUACCAACAUUGAGCAGGUAAAUAAUAUAACUACUAGAGGAGGCAAAGCCACUAGGGAUCCCCCAUUCCCAAAAGAGAAACAAAGAACAUCAGCACCAGUGCAACCAGCAGUGAUAGAAGAAGAAAGCCCAGUUGAAGCAGAAGAUCUGCCCCAACCACCAAGAACUAGAGAAAUGAGGAAAGAUUUUUACGACACCAACUAUUUGCCAUUUCCCAGAAGAAAGAGGACUGCAGUCGGAUGAGCAGUUUGGUAAGUUUGUAGAGAUCAUUCAGAAAUUAUAUGUCAGCAUACCUCUGCUCGAUGCCAUACAGGUACCUACAUAUGCGAAGUACAUCAAAGAUAUUCUUAACAAGAAGAGGCCACUGACACCACUGAGGUUAUCAAGCUGACAGAAGAAUAUAGUGCGGCCAUCCUCAAUAAACCACCAAAGAAGAAGGAAGAUCCAGGAUGUCCCACUAUUGAUUGCUCAAUCGGAAACCAACACUUCAACAACGCACUUUGUGAUCUCGGAGCAAGUGUCAGUGUGAUGCCAGCAUUAGUCUACAAAAAGCUUGAGCAUGCAACCCUAGAACCAACAUCAAUGUGCCUACAACUAGCGGAUCAAUCGGUUCGACAUCCGUUGGGUAUCGCCGAAAACAUUCCAGUCAAGAUCAGAGAUUUCCUUGUGCCAGUAGACUUCGUAGUACUAGACAUGAGUCCUGACUCAAAAGUGUCCAUCAUCCUUGGAAGGCCAUUUCUGAGCACUGCCAAUACCCACAUUGAUGUCGGGAAAGGAGAAAUCAAGUUCAACAUAAACGGACAAGAAGAACACUUCACAUUCAAACCCAGACCAGAGAGAGACUCUACUGUGAAGGAAGUUCAUGAAGAACCACUGGAGACACCAUCUUCGGAGGAAGGUAAUUCAGAAGAUUAAAAGAUUUGGAGGUUCAGCUUAGGGGACCUAAAAAUCCCAAACCCUCACCGGGAGGUAAAUCGGUAUUUAUCCGCAUUAUUAAUUUUCUCAUAUUUAAAUUCUUGCAUAAUUAAAUCUUGCAUUAGUCACAUUUAUUCAUAGCAUUAUUAUAAUAAUCAAAAGCCCCAUAUAAAUAAUAUUCAUGGUGUGUAACAACCCAUAUUUAUUAAUUAUUGUGGAGGCACAAAAAUAUUUUCCAUAAUCAUUUUAAUUAAGUUUCAAUUCUCAUAGAUUUUCCUGCAUUAUAUUUAAUUAUAGUAACCUUCUAGAAGCAUGACCCACACUCCUUGGGUCCCACAUGUCAUACACUUCACCUCACAUACAUCCCAUCACAUAAUUUCAUCCACCAAUAUGUUUCCACUCACUAGACAUCUUUCCACCGUCCAACCACCACCAACAUAAUAUUAUUCUGCGUGAGAUCAAAGCAAGGAAGCAAGUAGAGGAGGCACACCCAGGAUUGGCACCAGGGGUGGGCGCCCGCCCACCUACCCAGGGCGCCCGCCCUGUUCCUUGCUCAGCCUAUAAAUGGCCACCUCCAGCUCCCCUUCUCUUCACACACAUAUUUCAGAAAACCUUGCAAGCUCGUAGUUCUCGGUUUCCAGAGAAUAGCUCUGAGUGUGAGAAGGUUGAGAGUUCUUUUGAGUGAGAGAGUGAGUAUCACCUAGUAAGUAGUGAUCCCGUUGUCUAAGCGGAAAUAAAAGUUGUUUAGGGGGAGGCUCUACCAAAAUAGAAACUUGUCUUGAACGAUUAACCCCUGGACUACUGAUAUUCCGGACAGCUGACCACUAACAUUUUCUCUCACAUUUUCCACUAGUUGUGUUUUUGCCAACUUUUGUUUGCAGGAUGUUUAAGAAGGUGAAGAAUGCAGGGAAGGCCCUCAAGAACAUUGGUACAAGGAGUUCAUCCCGACACUCCUCACAGCCAUCAGAGAUGAGCGUCGACCCGACGCCCACACAAGCUCCGUCAACUUCAUUAGGUCAGCAAGUCAAGGUCCUUCUCAAGAUAGGAGACCUUGGACUGAAGACCCGAAGAGAGAAAGAAGUAUAUCAGCAAUUGAAGAAAAAAGAUUUUAUUCACACCCCUACUCUCGAUCCAAUCUUACUACAAGAAACAGGUAUGGACACCGAAUUUAACUUAAUUUUCCAGAUGAUAGGUUGGACAAAUUUUUGGAAUAUAACUGAGCUAGGUUCUCGUCUUCUCACCCUCGAAUUUCUUUGCACCUUACAAUAUUAUGAGGGGGGAAUUGUUUUUCGGAUGUUCAAACAGGAGAUUAUGUUGUCUUGGAGAGAGCUGAGCGACCAUCUUGGUUUCUCUUCAAGAUGCAUCCUGAACAUUGACUCCGACCUACCUAAUUUUGAGAGACACCAGUUUUGGAGAGAAAUAUCUAGAGAUACUUUUUAUAGCCAAGCCCGAACCAGUGACAUGGAACACCCAACUCUUAGGAUGUUCCACAAAUGGCUUGGGUACAAUCUUUUCUAUCAUGAUGAUAUUAGGAAAGUAAGAGUAGAACAUUUGCAACUUUUAUAUGCUGCUAUUAAUAAAGUACCCACUUCACCUGUUACACUUUUAGUUUCUCAUUGGCUUAGUAUACCUAGUCUUCAGGGACCACUAGGAUGUACUUCACUUAUCACUCGUCUAGCCUCUAACCUUCAUUUACUAGAAAACUCAUCGUUGGACUUCAUAGAUGAGUUAAGAAUUUAUCAUGGCUAUGACACAUUUAGACAAGCUCGGAUGUUAAAGAAAGAGGGGAAUAUAAUAUAUAUGCUAUAUGAUGAUAGAGGCAAGAUUCGGUUACCUAACCCGAACCUUGGCCUCUACAUUGUUCAAAACUUUUUGAUUGAGAUUGCAGCAACACUAGUGAACCAGAGAGCUCCACAGCGAGUGGCAUCUGAAAGGAUGACCACCCAUCGAGAACGCACCUGGUAUGGAGCUGAUCCCGGACCAGAAGAAGCAGCGCACCUGCAUUAUUGCGAUUACAACCCCUGAGUCCUUCGAGACCCAUGGGUUCGACAAGCGCAACCACAAGAGCCAACAGAGGAGACAUGGCCGGAGAGCCAAGACCACCAGUGGACAAACCCGCCUUUCCAUACGGGCAGGUACUCCACUGAUCCAUAUGGAGCUUCAAGAUCCAGACCUCCACCCCAAUUUGAUGCAGGACGAUACUCGGACGCCUCCUACGUUUUCACGAAUGACUACUAUCAAGAGGCCGGUGCUUUCUUCACUCGUACCGAUAACACUCUCCUCGACAUCCAGAACAUGCAAGCAGAACAUGGAAGACUCCUGGAAGAGCAACAAAAAUGGAACCAGGACCAUGCUGCUGCAGUACAAGAGCUGAGACAAGAUACAACAACAAUGAACGACAACAUCACAAUCAUGAUGUGGUUCUGGAACCUCGGGUAAGGCCGACAUCAACAUCCAGCUUGGGGGAGUUCCUCCCCAAUUUAUCAAGUAAGUUUUUAAUUGCUCUUCUUAUUUAUUCUUUUCUAUUUUAGUAUUUUACUUAAAAAGGAAAAACUUAGAAAACCCAAUAAAUAUUUUCUUGCUUUAAUUUACUACAUUUUAUAAACAUGAAAACAAAAUAAAAAGAGUGUGUAGAUAAGUGUGCUUUAUUUUCUUGCUAAGUUUAAUCUCUAGAAAAAUAAAAAGACCAAAAAGAUGCAUAAUGAAAAUGAUGAGCAGUUGCUCUGUUUGCUUACUUUCGAGUACCUAGCUUUUAUAUUAGAGUUCUUCCAGGAAUUACUAAAACUUACUAUCUUUGGGAAGCAUAAAACUAAUGUCUAGGUAAGAGAAAGGCAUGAUAUAAAGUUGAGCUGCUGUUUACCUUGUUCCUACUACACUAAGUUCUGGAGAUUUAUUUUGAAAACUUACAAAUCACAUGAUGAGUUCCUAGCAUUACAACUACCUACCAUAGCCAUACUUGCUAUAACAUCUUUUACUAUAUUUACAUUGAGUUUGAUCGAGCUGUGUAGACCCUUAGGAGCUUUUCAUGUGGUUAAAUUAAGAUAUUCACUUGCACACAUCUACCACAGCAUUCAUCACCAAUCAUUAAAAUUGCUAAAAAAAAUAUAUUAUCACUCACUGUCCCAAGUAUUGUUAUUUUCUCUCUCUAAAAAGAUUCAAUGCAGAAGAGGCAUGGGUUAUGCAAAAAUAUGCGAGGAAAUAAAAAGGGCCAAGUGCUCGGAACCUCGAAAAAGAAAGAAAAAGAGUGAGACGAGAGGUAAAAAUAGACAAGUGUCCGGAGUAGAAUUAGGGGUACAAAGAUGCCCACUUGAGCGGAAAAAAAAUGGACAAGUGUCUGACAGUAGAAUUAGGGGUAUCUACUACCUACCUGAAAAAAAAAGAAGAAAAAGAAAGAAAAGAUAGCCCAUGUUCUCCCAAAGCAAAGAUCAAAGAGGAGGAGAGAUAGCAAUAUGAGGAGCAAUGCGAAGUAAGUUUUAUUAUCACCAUCACUACCAUUUACUCCACCACACAUGCACAUCUUGACUUAAUUAUCUGCUAAGUUCCUUUGGAUCCAUGGCUCGAUUAGACAACAUAUGUAUGAGUUGUUUUUCACUCCUAUGAGCUCCACUUAAAUAUUCCAUUAGCUAUAGGUAAGUGACAUUUUGGUAAGGAUCCACAAAUACCACAUAUAGAGAGACUUGAGAGAAUCAUUGUUAGGAACUCUGAGUUUUAUUUUGAAAAACUUAUGAAAAACUCUGGAACAAAGGUGAAGUAUAGAUAGGAGGAAUAGUGCUUGACUUAAUUAUUUUGUCUUUCAAUUACUUAAGACUUAAGUGCAGGUACUAAACUCCAUAACACUUCACUCUAAUCUAGAAGAAUUUUUAUAUAAAAGCAUGUGUGCCUAUCAGGAAAGAAAACAUCGAAGCAACUCCUGAUCCAUGUGAGUUUAGCUAUUUUCUCAGGGACGAGCAAAGGGUAAGCUUGGGGGAGUUUGUUGACGGUCCUUAAGUACUAAAAUUAAUAAUCAAAUAAACAUGAAAAAGGAUCAAUAUGAAACAAACAUCUAGAAUUAGGGUUUUAUCUGACAGAAUUCCACAAGCUUUGGUGUUUAUCUAUUUCUGCAGGGGGUUAUCAGAGAAUAUGGAGAGAAGGCCCACAUGUCAUGUUUACAACGAGAUAAUUACGUACCGCGCAAUUUUCCUCAAUCUAGAAGAGUCCAGAAGCCACGGGAACGAACGAGAACACGAUCGGGCUCGGGGGCAGGGCGUCCGCCCACCCCCCUUAGGCGCCCGCCCAGGCCAGGAGUCCAAUCAGGACUCUGCUUCGGGGCUAAACUCCACCGACCUAAAGGAUCAAUCUAAACCAUACAAUCUAUGUCGGUUUGAUCUGCCCACAUUCACUUGAAAGGACUAUAUAACCAAGGCCUCUCCACCCCUGGGGAGAGAGGAGAAGAGAAGAAAUCAUUAUUCAGAGGUAGCCAUCAAAGUUAGGGUUUAGAGCUUCUCUCCCACAGAGAAUUAGAAUUAGCUACUCCCUAAUCCUUCAAGUUUAGAGGUUUGAUUAGAUAGCA
rnacentral:lncRNA from 1 species